rnacentral:rRNA from 1 species
GACGUAGGGUCCAAGCGUUGUCCGGAUUUACUGGGCGUAAAGCGCGCGUAGGCGGUCUGUUAAGUGCACAAGUGAAAGCUCCGGGCUCAACUCGGAAAUUGCUUUGCAUACUGGCAGGCUGGAGGGACGCAGAGGUCUGUGGAAUUCCUGGUGUAACGGUGAAAUGUGUUGAUAUCAGGAGGAACACCCAUGGCGAAGGCAGCAGACUGGGCGUUUCCUGACGCUGAGGCGCGAAAAGCGUGGGUAGCAAACAGG